UACGUAGGGGGCAAGCGUUGUCCGGAUUUAUUGGGCGUAAAGAGCGUGUAGGCGGUUUGGUAGGUCCGCUGUGAAAACUCGAGGCUCAACCUCGAGACGCCGGUGGAAACCAUCUAACUAGAGUCCGGAAGAGGAGAGUGGAAUUCCUGGUGUAGCGGUGAAAUGCGCAGAUAUCAGGAAGAACACCCGUGGCUAAGGCGGCUCUCUAGUACGGUACUGACGCUGAGACGCGAAAGCGUGGGGAGCGAACAGG
rnacentral:rRNA from 1 species